rfam:Aspergillus fumigatus Af293 chromosome 1, whole genome shotgun sequence.
UCCUCGAUGGUCUAACGGUCAUGAUUUCCGCUUGUCACUCCAACGAGAACGAGCGCGGGAGACCAGGGUUCGACUCCCUGUCGGGGAG